AGGCCCCUUCGGGGGUGCACGAGUGGCGAACGGGUGAGUAACGCGUGAGCAACCUGCCCUUGACUCUGGGAUAACAGUUGGAAACAGCUGCUAAUACCGGAUACGACCUUCGAUGACAUCAUCUGGAGGUGGAAAGCGCUUUAGCGGUCAAGGAUGGGCUCGCGGCCUAUCAGCUUGUUGGUGAGGUAACGGCUCACCAAGGCUUCGACGGGUAGCCGGCCUGAGAGGGCGACCGGCCACACUGGGACUGAGAUACGGCCCAGACUCCUACGGGAGGCAGCAGUGGGGAAUAUUGCACAAUGGGCGCAAGCCUGAUGCAGCAACGCCGCGUGCGGGAUGACGGCCUUCGGG
rnacentral:rRNA from 1 species